rnacentral:tRNA from 1 species
GCAUUGGUGGUUCAGUGGUAGACUUCUCACCUCUCACGCAGGAGACCUGGGUUCAAUUCUUGGGCCAAUGCA